GACGAACGCUGGCGGCGUGCUUAACACAUGCAAGUCGAACGGAAAGGCCCUGCUUUUGUGGGGUGCUCGAGUGGCGAACGGGUGAGUAACACGUGAGUAACCUGCCCUUGACUUUGGGAUAACUUCAGGAACCUGGGGCUAAUACCGGAUAGGAGCUCCUGCUGCAUGGUGGGGGUUGGAAAGUUUCGGCGGUUGGGGAUGGACUAGCGGCUUAUCAGCUUGUUGGUGGGGUAGUGGCUUACCAAGGCUUUGACGGGUAGCCGGCCUGAGAGGGUGACCGGCCACAUUGGGACUGAGAUACGGCCCAGACUCCUACGGGAGGCAGCAGUGGGGAAUAUUGCACAAUGGGCGGAAGCCUGAUGCAGCAACGCCGCGUGCGGGAUGACGGCCUUCGGGUUGUAAACCGCUUUCGCCUGUGACGAAGCGUGAGUGACGGUAAUGGGUAAAGAAGCACCGGCUAACUACGUG
rnacentral:rRNA from 1 species